GGAUUGCCCUAGUAACGGCGAGUGAAGCGGCAACAGCUCAAAUUUGAAAUCUGGCGUCUUUGGCGUCCGAGUUGUAAUUUGCAGAGGGCGCUUUGGCAUUGGCAGCGGUCCAAGUUCCUUGGAACAGGACGUCACAGAGGGUGAGAAUCCCGUACGUGGUCGCUAGCCUUUACCGUGUAAAGCCCCUUCGACGAGUCGAGUUGUUUGGGAAUGCAGCUCUAAAUGGGAGGUAAAUUUCUUCUAAAGCUAAAUACUGGCCAGAGACCGAUAGCGCACAAGUAGAGUGAUCGAAAGAUGAAAAGCACUUUGGAAAGAGAGUUAAAAAGCACGUGAAAUUGUUGAAAGGGAAGCGCUUGCAGCCAGACUUGCCUGUAGUUGCUCAUCCGGGUUUUUACCCGGUGCACUCUUCUAUAGGGCAGGCCAGCAUCAGUUUGGGCGGUUGGAUAAAGGUCUCUGUCAUGUACCUCUCUUCGGGGAGAACUUAUAGGGGAGACGACAUGCAACCAGCCUGGACUGAGGUCCGCGCAUCUGCUAGGAUGCUGGCGUAAUGGCUGUAAGCGGCCCGUCUUGAAACACGGACCAAGGAGUCUAACAUCUAUGCGAGUGUUUGGGUGUCAAGCCCGAGCGCGUAAUGAAAGUGAACGGAGGUGGGAACCUUUCGGGGUGCACCAUCGACCGAUCCUGAUGUCUUCGGAUGGAUUUGAGUAAGAGCAUAGCUGUUGGGACCCGAAAGAUGGUGAACUAUGCUUGAAUAGGGUGAAGCCAGAGGAAACUCUGGUGGAGGCUCGCAGCGGUUCUGACGUGCAAAUCGAUCGUCAAAUUUGGGCAUAGGGGCGAA
rnacentral:rRNA from 1 species